GGAAGUGAAUGACUGUGUAGAUGGCACAGCAGGCUUAAUCCCUGGAACUUUAAUUUCCUUCACUUUUACAGGCUAGCAAAAGGAAGAGUUCAGAAGAAAAGAUGAAUAAGAAGGGGCAGAACGGAAGUACAGAAAGCAAUGAAUGCAGGAGAAAAGAGUUCAGCAAUGCUCCUGUAUAAAGUAUCAUCAAAUCAAUAGGAGUUGCUCCCAUUUAAAUAGAUGGACAGUUUCAGGCACCCUACAAAAUCAGACCUUGCUCUGUGUAGACAUCUCUGGACCAUAGCUACCAAAUGGAGAUGAUAACUUUUGGAGAACAAGGAUAUUUCUAUUUAAUUCCAUUAAGACUAGUCCUUGUACCUUCCCUGGAAGAGAUUGCACUAUGAAGCUUAUGGAGCAGAACAUGGUAAGAAAGGACCUCUCUGAUCCUUCAACUGUUUAAUAAUUAACUAUAUGACCUCUGUUUGGAAAUAAAGAUAGGCUAAUUAAUGCAUACUUCAAUAGCGUAUUUCACCUACAGUAUGACUGCAAUGUAUAAUGUAAAAUUAGAAGAAGAUGGAGUACAUUCCAUGUACAUCAUGACAAGGAUUAUAGAAGCGCUUCUUUGUAAAUGUCUUCUCUCCUUCAUUUUAUGGCACUUUGCAUUACUGUGUAAUUAUGUAUAAUUACUUGAAAAAAAAUGUAGACUUCUGGCCCCUUGGGGUGCAACUUUGAGAGAGACAAAAAGAGUCAGUGUUUGCAUAUGGUGUGAAAUUUUGUGCACAAGUACAGCACUUUCCCUGGAAGUGGAAAUGUUUCUGCAACACCUCCUACAGGAGGGCUCAUUCAAGUGGUCUACAUCCUACGAAAUCUUAAUCCAGACAAAACAUUUUCUGCUUCUUUUGCAUCAUUGAUGUCUUGCUAUCUGAAAAAAAAAAUGCUUCUGAUCAAUUAAAACUCAGAAGAGCCUUCUGUCAAGUUCCUGAAAGCGAUUUACAAAGCAUCUUCACAGUAUCCACGUGAGUCAAAUGAGUGUGAUUAUCUCCUCUGUGUGGGGUUGGAGCAGAACUGAAGAUGUUCUGGUGUUCUACCAUCCUACUGUCGUGGAUUAGAUCGACAGAAACACAUUCAACUUCUCUUGCAGGUUUGCCUGUUGCCUUAAUAUCAGGUUGGGCUUUUAUUUGUUUUAAUGUCAGGAAGGCUUUAGGCGUAUUUGCAAGCACAGAAUUGACUCUCUGUGAUGGUCAGCUCUCAGCAAUUAACAGAGUAACUAACUUUCUGCAAGAAGAAAAGAUGGAGUCCUUUUUCUUCAUGAAUCUUUUCACAGGUGUGGACUAUCUUGUAAGUUAACUUUGUUAUUUCACAAUUGUAAAAAGUGUCAUGAUGUUUGAAUAGCUGUAAUUACUGCUCACCUUGUUCUCUGUCCUUUGAUUAAAAUGCUUUCAGGUAUUUUGCAAAAUCCUGAGAUAAAGGCUGAUACACAAAUAAUAUCCCUGAGAUAAAAUGCAAUAAAUGUUCUGUAAGACAUGUUUUAUUUGUGAGGAGCUCAGAUAACACAGUGAUUGGUGCCUGGUUAAAUGGAUAGAUUAAGCAUAUUUUUCUCUGAUCCUUUACACAGUUGGAUCUUAUAUUUUGAAAAUUCAUUUGAGAUCAGGCAGAACUGCACAGGCCAUAAAGGCUUGAGAGAGGUUGUACAGUUCCAGUCCCACAAAGGAAGGAAAAAUGAAGAAGAGCAGGAAGAAAUAGGAAACUGUGUACAAAGCCUAGAUCACAAACUGAAAAAGAACUUCCAAAUAAUUUGUCCUUCUUCAGGUUAUCUCUCAUAGAAGCAAGAGUUCAUACAUGGAAAUUUCUGGUAGUGUGGCAAGAACAAGGAAGGCUUUGUGCUUUUCUGUGAGUAAGGCAGAACCAAGGUUGCUACUUUCAUUUUACAGCUCCAGUCUAACAGUGAAUGUCUGGGUAGUAGACCCUUCAGGAUGGAAGGUCUAGAGCCUCCUUUAGAGGGAUGUGUCUCAAGAAGAAGAGGGAAAAUGGUAAAAUCAGUGUAGGAGAAGGAUAAGGAAAUCAGAGUAGGAGAAGGAUAAGGAAAGUGUAAGAUUAUCUUAGCUUCAGCUUUAGUAAUAAUAUGGGCAAAAAGUGUAAUAUAGUUGGUCCCUCUGUCCAUUCACUUUAUUUACAUGGCCCUGACAUCAUGUAUGGAAACCAUCCUGGUGACUGAUGAAAGGGAAAGUGGAAAUCAAGCUCAACUUCUUUGCAAGUUGUGAAUCUGCAGUCUCAGUUCAGAUAUGCACUCUAUGCAAACAUGGAAAUUGUUUCAUGGACAAACGUUCAUUGCUGGUAUUGCUCAUGAGUAUGCCACUCAAGUCAGCAUUUCAGUGAAAUAUAACUGCAUCUCAGAUUGGUGAAACAAAUUUUCCUUCUCAGCUCUACCUGCAAUGUUUAAUUCAAGCAAAAUGACAUGUUUUGAAAGGUCACACCACUGAAUUUCAGGUAGCUGAGAGAGAUGUCUAAUUUAGUUGGCCUGUCUACAAAAGCCUUCCGAACAAUCAGUGAAGGCAGAGAGACUUUUACAGGAUGAGCACAUGAACUUUGGGCCACCUUGUGAAGGUGCUGUCUUUUUCGGUUAGCUCUGAUGAGGCUGAUGGCCUCUUUUGGUGAGCACUGAAGUACUCCAACUUUGCUAGUCCAAACACACGCUUCUACUAAGUCUUUUAUUCCAGUUAUAUGACUUUUUAAAUAUCAAACUUAUCUAACUUUUUUGGUCAGAGAAAAGCAAACUGUGAUAGUUCAGAAACACUGACAUUCAAUAUUCAACCUUUCUGCGUUUUCAUCUAUUCUUCUGGCCAAAAUUAUUUGCUGUGUUUGAUCCAAGUUUUUGAAGGGCUUUUGUUGUCUUGGAACAGUGUUUUCUAGCAAAGUGGCCAUUCUGCUGGAAAAAUAUUGAAGGUCAAAACCGGAUAUAUAUUAAACCACAUAGCUUCUUUUUCUCCUGUAGUCUUUGGAUAAACACAGAUUUCAGCCUUACAAGCUGUUAACCUGGCAUUUCUUACCAGUUUGUAAUUCAGAGAGAAUAUAAGUAACAUUUCAAAUAAGCAGAGGAGUAUCUUCCCCUUUUAGGAUGCUGGCUCCACCUUUCUCCAUUUCCUUCUGCUGAUCUCCUCUGGGGGAAGAGAAUUGAGUAUACUAAUGACAAAAAGGCAAAUGUGCAAACUCCCUCAAGGAUGCCUUACAAAGCUACUUCAUCAUAACAGUGUGACAUGGACAUGAAUAGAAGAUCAUUCUCUUACUUCAAAUUCCAAGCAGCCAUUGACUUUAUUGCAUAUUUUCACCUACGUGAGUUACAAAUUAAUGACAAAUAUGUUUGAAAGCUAGUCAUUACCUCAAUCAGUCAAUUAUUCAAGGGAUGUAUCAGUGUGAUUAGUUGCUCUCAGUUAAUUAUAGGAACAAUAAUUAGCUAAUAAGGGAGUCCCAUCAUUCAUAUAAUACUGAUUUUAAUUGUUUUAGAGACAAUAAUUUUAAAAGUCCCUUGAAUCUGCAUAUUGAGAAAGCACCCUAGAUUACUUAUAAAUUUAUCAAGUUGUAGGAAGUACUUUACUGUCUUCUUACUUUUCUGGCCAACCUUACGCUUCUUCCAUCUUCUCAGCACUAGCUUCUGUUGAAAAUUAACGAAUGUAUCUUCAAAUGAAGUCUUAUUAGUGAAUUGCCUUCAGAAGGCUGAGUGUCACACAGAUGAUUAGACAACUUGCUGCAUUUAAUUACCUUGCCCCUGGACAAAUAUAAACUGAUGCAAAUGCUGGCAAGGAAAGAUGGAUGUGCGAAAGACAUUAUGCCCUGUUCCUAUAAAGACAGAAUCUUCUCUGAUUUUCAGAUGCAGAACCAUAGGUUUUCACACUUCUCCUCCCUAAAAUUAGCACUGGAAUGAGCAUAUUUGAUGAAGGCAUUUUGUUUAAAGAAGACUCUUCCUGUUUCCUCCUUCUAUUGGCACUUCCCUCUUUGGACCUUCAGCACCAGCUUUGUCUAAACCACCAGAAAGUUGACCUUACAAAACCAUGCAGGAUGAGAAAAGUGUGGUCCUCCAGGGACACAUGGAAUCAGGCAGUGGGAUCAUUGCUUUCACCAGCUGCAAGCUGAUGUUUCUGCUUGCCCGUUUCAUUCAUCUUUACUGUAAGCACAGGCUAUUUCUCCUCUGAUAACGUGGCUGAAAACUCUUCAACCCCCCUUGUAAGAUAUGAAUCUUAGAUUUUAAUUCUGCUUCUACUACUUACCACUAUCUUGCAAUCAAAAAUGACCUUGGGGGGUCGUCUUUGUAUCUGGACAUGGAAUUUUCCCAACCCCUCUACUGAGUGAAUGCCCUAAGUGUUUUUAUGAUAUGCUAGAGAUGGGCUUUUAGAAGACUCCCCCUUCUCUCCAGCUGUGCUGACAUUUUAAAAAACACAUAAUUUUUAUCCCAGGCUCUUGGUUUUAAUCAUUUUCAUUUUUUCUAUCUUUACCCUGAAAGCCUCUCUUGACUCCUGCUCCAAUUCUAACUGCCCAGGGCAACAAUUGCAUUAGCAUAUCACUAAUAUACCUAAUUUAAUUAUUUAAAAUUGAAAACAAAAGAUAGAUGAAGCCCAGUGAGACCACAGAAGACAAUAGUCAUCUUUAACUUUGUGUAGUAUAGUGGUCAAAGCAUUAAAAUUGAAAUCAGGAAAAUCUGCAUCUGACUAGAAUUCCCUCAGACAAUCAUGUAAGUUCUGUAUCACAACUUCCCUAUAUGCCCUAUAGGAUUUAUACCUGAUAGGGCGUUGUGUGACAUCUAUUUAUAGGAUAUAGUAUUUUGCAGUCCUCUGUCUCCUUAUUACAGCUCCCAAAUGACUUGGACUCUCAGUAAGCUCCCUUGCAUGCUUUCCAAACUCAAGCACUCUUCAUUAUCUGUUUUACUUUGUUAUACUGAAUAAAUAAAAAAACCUGGAAGAAUGCAGCAAUCCUGUCGUAUUGAACUUUUGCUACCUUGUUCCAUUAAUGCUUUAAUCAUCAAAAGCAUAGCUUACAUGUAGUUUUUGGACUGAUUUUAAAGAGCUCUUUUCCAAAUAAUGAGAGGAGUAAGAGCCCUUGAACAUUCAUGCUGCUGUUCUUCAACACAUAGAUCAAACCAUGACAUUGCACCAGUUUCUUUACAAAAAUGUGUAAAGGUCUGCAAGUUCCAUUUGCAUAUGACACUGCAGAAAGGUGAAUAUUUUAGGACUGAUUUAUCUGAGCUCUUGGAUGAUUUUGUCGAGACAUAUGUGACACUCCCUAGAUAAAUCACACCACCUCUGAAUUCCCAUUAUUGCUGUUGUUUCUUUGCAAGACAGCUGCAGAGCCCUUUCUUCUACCCAGUACUAAAAGGUUCCAUUCUCCCUGAUGCAACUUCACUUGAUAAACUGAUAGCUAUUUUGUCUUUUCCCUGCCCCUGCUGCCUUCCAUCUAGUUUAACCUGGACUGCUUCCAGCUCAUCCCUCAGGCCUUUCCCUCUCCCUGUUAUGAAAAUUUUUCCUCUUUUUUCCUCAAUUUCCUAAUGCUCCACCUCAAGCUGCAGGUAUGGAAGGAGGCAGGGAAAGAGGUAUUACUCAAGGGAGGCAUUACUGCUGCCAAAGGGAGAAGGUAAAAUUGGUGUCAGAGCUGAAAAGAGUGAUAGAUAGAUGGCAUGAGUGGGUGCCUCACCAUUGCUGGGAUUUGGCAGAUGGAGGAGUGAAAAACAAGAUAAAAAAUGGUGGUAGCCACACGGGUAUGGAAAAACCUACAGUAUCAGGAGGGAAAAGUACUAAAUUAAUUCUUAUAGAUGCUGGGAUAUAGACACGUAGGGAAAGACAGCCAAAUUCACUCAUGUUUUUAUUUCCUUUUAACAACACUCCAGGAAUAAAGAGAUUCUUGCUGUAGGCCCUUGCUGGACCUGCAGUGAUGAAACACAAUGGCUUCUUCGUGGCUACAGCCUUUUUCAGGUUAAAUUUACCAUCUCCUUACACUCAUUUCUGAGUGCAUUUCCUAACCACCUGGCUAGACUGUGCUCAUGCAUGGCCAUAUUUGUCCACUUGCCUCACCUGCCCUUUGUGCCAUGCUGCAAGAUAGACUUCAGGCACCCGAGCUGAGCACCCUGAGACCCCUCCUCAGAGGUCAGUGUUAUUUGCUGAUAAGGUACAUGGAUUUUGAAGUGAAACUUGAAGAGCAAGUAGUGUGUCUUGAGAAUGCCUUCAUAUCCUUGCAGCCCUGGGAAGUGUGGACAUAGCUCAUUUUAUCAUUACAGAGUGCAAGUAGGGAGGUACUGAGGCUCAGCAGGACAACAGAAGCCUACAGAUACUUCAAGUAACCAACUCAGUCAGCUUUGAACUCUCUCAUUUGGACCAUUGUUUAUAUAAGUUGACAACUGUAUGCUCUUAAGAAUGUCUGAGAUGUUGAAUCUCACAGUAUCUGAGAGCUGAGAUCCGUGCCGGAAGAACAUGUCCAGCUUUGUGAUAAUGGGAAUCCCAAGGGAAAUACACUGUGACAAUGGACUGCCAGUACUGAGAGAGUGUCAGAGUGUAAGGAGGGGAAGAAACAGAGCAUUUGGGUGAAGAAAUGCACAAAUUCACAGAGCUGGUGAAUCAGAGGGUUUAGAAGUUGCAUUAUACUUUGAGCUCUUUGAGAUUGUUCUUUCAUAGGCACUAUGUCCUUGCACAGAAUGGUCCUAUUAUCUAAUCCUACUGUUCCUGUCAGUCAUUUAAAAUUUUACACCUGCACAAUUGAAUGAAAGUAUUGGUUCUAUUUCUUGGAAGGGGCAUGUGCCUUUUUCUGCUGGAAAACAGAAGUAAUGCACGUGAUAUUGGAUCAGUCUUAUUCAAUUACCUUGUGUAAUCUUGAAUUUAACCUAAUUGACAAGAAUUUGGAGAGACAUUCUGAUUUUUUUUUUAUUUUUUCUUGUGUUCAAUUUUAUCAUCACACACAAUGAAAAGCAUUAAUUUUGCCCCCUUCCUCCAACAGCUAUAGCAAAAUAAGUUAUUUUAAAUGCAUUGCUUGAGUUUUAUCAGGAUUGCCUCUUCUCUUCUGUAGAUGUAUAUACAGUUAUAUACAGAACUCCACACAGUUAGUUAGCAUGAACUAGGCAGCUAGUGGCAAUGUAAAGACUCUGUAAAUUUGAUCCUUCUUGAACAUUAGAUCAUAAGGGAAAAGGAAAUAAGGAAAGUGCAGGACAUGAGCCCAGAAAUGGAAUAAAUAAAACUGGUGUGCUAAAAGACGGAGGAGUGAGGAAAAAGCAAGUCGAAGUCCCCUCUCCUGAAAUCUCCUCUAAGUGGCAGAUCUCUUCUGUAUCACCAUGGCAGUAUAAUACCAUAAGGAGACAGAUGCUCCCGUAAGCAGUCAAUACCCAAGUAGCUCUGUGUAUUUCAGGCCAAAGUGAAUAACCUAGAAUUGUAGCAAAUUAUGCUAGAAGACUAUCCAAACCUCAGAACAUUUCAUGGUAAGCACAUGUAAUCUGCCUCCUCUUAGAAGCACAAGGGAAUCAGAAGCAAAUGGAGGGAAAUUUUAGCACAGGGAAGAACUGUAUAACGUGCUUAAGAUAAUCAAUGCACAGGGUAAGUGAGAAAGAAAAUUUUCUUCUGACAGACACGAAGACAUGCUGCAAGUGUCCCUGGUUGCUGGCUGUGACCUGUGGAUAGCAGUAGCGCUCCUCCAUGUCUUUACACAUGCACAGCCCAGAAAUUUGGGAAACUGAUGCUAUUUCUUGCCCAGUUUCCAGCAUUUCCUCAGAUUUAAUUCAGUUUUGCAUGGCAAGGCAAAUGCAAAUUUUCCAGAUCUGGGACAUUACCUGUGCUGAAGCUUGUCUAGAAGAAUUUUAGCAAGCUCAGAGAGUGAAGGACACCUUUGGAGUUCAUUCAAUGGCAUUUGUGUAUUUCUCCAUGCUGUUUAAUUGACUGCUGUUAUCUAAAUGUUUUAGUUAUUCUGGAAUUACUUCUGUGUGUUGAUAAUCUUUUGUGAUUGUGAUUAUUAAUGCCUGCUGGAUAAAUGCUGUCUAUAUAAAGUACUAUAAAAUGCUAUAUGUCUUUGUGUAGGUAGCUGCAUGUAGAUGCAGCCACAGGCAUUCAAUAACCAUAAAAAGAGUGUGAAUGUUGAAUUCAGGACCAAUGUACCUAUUGAGUAAAACACCAAUAACAGCUACGUGUUGUAAAAAAUCAGGGGUAUGUUGCAAGAUAAUACACAAAGUGCAGAAGUAAAUGACUUGCUUAGUUUAUGUUAUCACUGGUGAGAGUAACUCACAUAAUUGUUCUGUCAAGUAAUUUUUUUACAUCACUGGUUAGAAAAAUGUGGGGAAACCUGUUAACCCCACUUGUCCGACCUGUUCCUGUCAGAACUAUCUUUAGUUUGAGCUUCAAAAGCAACAAACCACAUAAAAUCUACGCCCCCUUUCUAACAUUAUUAUCCCUCCUGCUGUUUUAAUUUAUGUGUUUAAUUUUGGUUUUCUGGGUGCAAUAUGGCUAAUUGCUUGAGAACUGUGCAACCUUACAAGUGAAAUUUUGCUUUUAUAAUUUGUAGCACAUCAAGUGUAAUAAUGUACAUUUAAUUUCACAAAAAGAUAAUUAUGCUAAUAGAAUUAUUUGAAUAAAAAUUCACACUCUAUUCAGGAUAAUGUCCUCUACCUCUUAAUUUAUACUAAUGUAGGUUUGUAUGGAAUUUUUAAUAAGCUUCUUCAACCCAGGGCCAUGAGUGGCUCGUCUGAAGAAGAGGGCUGGUGGGACUUAAAUAGGAUAGAAAUGUUUCAAAAGGCUUUGUAGCAAAAACUGUCAGAAGUGAUGCAGGUAUUGGGUUUGUAUAGAUGCUAGAAGAUGCUGCACCCAGCCCUGGUCAUGUGGAUGGUUGUGGUCCUGCUAUGUUUAGCUUACAGGGGGAAAAUAAGGAAGAGACUCUGCAGGUGAGCAACUGCAUUGCAUACAGGCAAUGCUUGCCAGAUGCCAA